rnacentral:rRNA from 1 species
AACGAACGCUGGCGGCAGGCUUAACACAUGCAAGUCGAGCGCCCCGCAAGGGGAGCGGCAGACGGGUGAGUAACGCGUGGGAAUCUACCGUGCCCUACGGAAUAGCUCCGGGAAACUGGAAUUAAUACCGUAUACGCCCUUUGGGGGAAAGAUUUAUCGGGGUAUGAUGAGCCCGCGUUGGAUUAGCUAGUUGGUGGGUAAAGGCCUACCAAGGCGACGAUCCAUAGCUGGUCUGAGAGGAUGAUCAGCCACACUGGGACUGAGACACGGCCCAGACUCCUACGGGAGGCAGCAGUGGGGAAUAUUGGACAAUGGGCGAAAGCCUGAUCCAGCCAUGCCGCGUGAGUGAUGAAGGCCUUAGGGUUGUAAAGCUCUUUCGCCAGGGAAGAUAAUGACGGUACCUGGAAAAGAAGCCUCGGCUAACUCCGUGCCAGCAGCCGCGGUAAU